rnacentral:rRNA from 1 species
UACGUAGGGUGCAAGCGUUGUCCGGAUUUACUGGGCGUAAAGCGCGUGUAGGCGGUUCGGUCAGUCUGUCGUGAAAGCUCCUCGCUUAACGGGGAGAGGUCGAUGGAAACUGCCGGACUUGAGGACGGUAGAGGGGGGUGGAAUUCCCGGUGUAGUGGUGAAAUGCGUAGAUAUCGGGAGGAACACCAGCGGCGAAGGCGGCCCCCUGGGCCGCUCCUGACGCUGAGACGCGAAGGCCAGGGUAGCGAACGGG